GCAGACACGACUGAGCAGCUGAGCAGGCAUGUGCCAGAUGUGGGACAGAUUGCCAUGAUUCUGCUUGCAUGCACACGACAGCCAUCUCCUUCUAGAAUUUUUGCCCCAUCUACCCCUCCAGCCACACUUGAGAGGCCUUUUCUCCUCCAGGAUCCACAGACGUCCCUCUCUGACUUAAUUAGCGCCUUUCAACACUCCAAGAGGAAAACAAGACAGUAUGUAAUUUAAAAAACCUGCUUCUGUUACAUUUCUGCUCAAGUAUUGUCUCUUUUCCAUGGUGUUUGGGAUUUCAGAAAUAAAAGCCAAGAUCAUCAGCAUGCCAUUGCUGCUACACCCUGCCUGGUUCUUCCACUGGCCAGCGAACGCAGGCUCUGUUACCCACUUGAAUGUAGAAGGGAAAGAGUGAAAUAAAGGGAGAAAAGAAAAAAAAAAUAAACAGGAACAGAUUAACAUCUCAAAAUAUCCUGCUACAUUUGAAAGAUGUGAGAGUUGAGUUCAUGGGCGAGGUUCUACGGGGAAAAAGGAAUUGUUCUUGAAAAACGAGGUCUGUGCUGUUGCAGAGACAGCAUUGCCCCUAGGCCCACAGAAUGCUCUGAUGUCAUCGCUGAGGUCAGAGAAUCCUGCCGUGGGCCUGGCGACCUUUGAACCUUAACAGCCCUGCGCUGUGGAGAGCGCUGGGCAGUGCUGCUGCUUUAAGUGGUCCGAGUUCUUCAGCCACUUUGGAGACUCGACUGCUUUUAACUCGAUUUAAUUAUCAAGUCAUUUCAGAGGGUCUCCGGAGAGCCAAGAAGGGCCAACCUGUAGCCAAGAGGAGGAGCUGGACGUGUGGCAUCUUCUUCGAGGGGGUCUUCUAGUUGGGACGAUGAAAAGGCGACAAAAGAGGAAACACCUGGAAAAUGAAGAGUCCCAGGAGACUGCCGACAAGGGAGGAGGAAUCUCAAAAUCACAAGAGGAUCCCCCUCAGCUAGGAUGCAAUGCAGUGGCCCAAGUCUGCCCCCAAGGGGCGGGGGAGGUCUCUUCUGCCUCUGAAUACUUCUCCUGUGUUUCUUCUCCACGCAAGCUCAUCCAUGGUGGAAUCUGGAAGUUGCAUCGAGACAGUCCCCAGCCUAGGGCACCCCUAGCCCAUCUUCAAGAACAAGGGGAGAUGGCUCCCCUGUCACCACGUGUCUCCUUCUCCUCCCCUUCAUCCUACAAGACCUGCGCAACCUCUCUGCAUAUGAACAAAGAGAAGAGGGGCAUGAAAAUAUACUACAUGCAGGUACAAAUGAAAAAGGGCGUUGCUGUCUCCUGGGAGGCAGAGAAACCCUCGGAGUCGCUAGAAAAGCAGCCGAGGAUGGAGGAAGUGACCCUUCCUGAGGACGUGCGGGUGGGGACUCCCCCCUCGGACGUGUCCACCAGAAACCUCCUGUCUGACAGCGAGCCCAGCGGGGAGGAGAGAGAGCAUGAGGAGAGGGCUGAGGCAGACAGCCCCGCCCCAGGGUCACCCACCGUCGAGGAGAGACCCCGGGCCCGGACACCCGACUGGCUGGUGACCAUGGAGACCGGCUUCCGCUGCAUGGCCUGCUGCCGGGUCUUCCCCAGCCUGGAGGUCCUGCGGGAGCACGUGCGGAAUGGCAUCCGCGAGGGCUUCAGCUGCCACGCCUUUCAUCUCACCAUGGCCCAGCUGACAGGCAAGGCAGAACCGGAGAACACCCCUGAGGAGGAAGCGGAGGACGAGGACGAGGACGGGGAGGACGAGAAGCAGGAGGAAAAGGAGAAGGAGGAGCAGCAGCCUGCGGGGGACGAUGUCAGCUUGAGGAGGCCCUGGAGCCAGUGUCCGGGCUGUGUGUUCCAUUCUCCCAAGGACCGGAACAACUGAUAAUUCACAGGCCAGAAGAUCCUGGAAGAUGGUGUGGGCUUCUCUCGGAAGAGAGAGAAGAAAGGACCCUGGAGAGAGUAGCAGACAGAAUGCCAGUGGUCUGAAGGAGGAUGAAGGGGCUGGCAUUCAGUCCAACAUCAUAUGACAGUAUAAACAUGACAUGUAAUAAAGGGUGUUUCCCAAACCUUUCCUGGAUAUUUUAUUUAAUUACAUUUAUCUACCUAUGCAUCCAUCUAUCAGUCAUCUACAUCUAUAUCUCUAGUGGUUUGUUUGUCAACAAAGUUUCACAGAAGCACCAAAGACCCACCAGCCUUUUCCAGAAGCAGCAGUCCCCAAGCUCCCAGGGUUGAUGAGGCUUCUGUGUGACUAGUUUACAAAGACUGGAUACCAUGUUUUACAUGAAAACAUGGCAGACCACACUGAGUUCAGGUAAAGUCACUGGGAAGUGGCAGGUGCUGUGGGAACUGUGUCCAGUCAGUCAUGAUUGAAAAUGCUGUGACCAGUAACUUCAGAGGAUGGAGGGUGGUGUA